rnacentral:rRNA from 1 species
CAUGUAGGCGGAGUGAUCAGUCAGUGGUGAAAUCUCCCGGCUUAACCGGGAGCCUGCUACUGAUACUGUCAUUCUUGAGUUCAGAAGAGGGAAGUGGAAUUCCUGGUGUAGCGGUGAAAUGCGUAGAUAUCAGGAAGAACACCAGUAGCGAAGGCGGCUUCCUGGUCCGAUACUGACGCUGAGAUGCGAAAGCGUGGGGAGCAAACAGGAUUAGAUACCCUGGUAGUCC